GCAGGAUCCAGGCACCAGGCAAUUACAACCCUUUCACUGGUCUCCACAGGUACGUGGUUGCACCACGUCACGUGGCAGUGCCAGUUAAGGAUUAGGGGCCCUCAUCACUCUUGGCCAUACACAACAGGCACAGAAGCAAUCUCUUUGCAGCUUUCUGCCUCUCCAGUAACAGGAGUUCUUUCAGAGUUGUUCCCAUAGUGCAUGGACAUACUACCACUAGGUAAAUCAGACAUGCUUAUAUGCAGGCAGGGAAUAGCCUGGUGUAGAGCCCCAUCUGCUCAAAACAGACUUCUGCUGUUAUCAGCCGGAGAACUUCCAGCCAAGCACUGUCAGGGCCUGUUAUCUGUGGUGGGCAGCCGUAGGAGGCAAUACUAAUCACGGAGGCCAGACACCAUCAUGCUCUCACUGCGUCUGCUGAAAUUUCUCCCUUCCCGCUGGGCAGGUACUUCUGUCUCCUUUGCCUGCUGUUCCUUCUGGGAGACCACUAAGAAAUGGUUAGAUCUUCCCACAUUAGUCUGUGUUCUCCUGAGUCAACUCCAUGAAUUUACUCUAAGAUGUAUGGGUCAAACAGGAGUGUUUCUAGCACACCUACACUUCCUAAAUGAAAGAGGUGCAAAUCUUGAUCUUUUCAUGAACAGGAAGCUAAAUGAAUUUCAGAAGCUUCUGACUGAGUUGUGCGGAUAGUCUACAAGAUACUUGAGAUCUACAGAUUCUAAUCUUAAACAGAGAAGAAGACAAAAAUCUUAAGCCAAUUCCCAUUUGAAAAGGGACCCUGUGCCAGAUCCCACUUCCCUGUGUGUGUGUGUCAACGGGAGAGGAGCAUGGCUGCAAAGACACUGCAGCUUGCCGCUGCUCUUCUCCCAGCAGGCAUGGAGAGCCCCAUUUCCUACAGCACCACCGAGAGCAGCCUCAGGUUCGUGGCAGCACGGAGGCACUUGCCACCUGUGCCAAAUGCAACGCCUGCUCCGUCAUGUUGCCUUCUCAGCCUUUCCUCUGUGGUAGUGGCAGUCUAGGGAUUGCUCUGGAUUUCACCCCUAGGAGUAUCAUGCACCUCUCCAGUAGCAGCCUGACCACACAAGCCAAGCACUGAAGCCUGGAUUUCAUCCUCCAUUAAUUGUUUGGGAGCAACACUUGAUUAUAUAUUCACUGCAUUCCCCAAAACAAUGUGUAUAAUUCCUUUCUUUUCGCUUUUCUAAGACCAAAUUCAUUAGAAGAAGAGCUUCUGGUAUAGCAAUCAUUUCAGUCUGAUUAACUGUCUUGCUGGAACACAUGGCCUUGGCACUAACACUAUUUGUAGAUCCAAAGUCUGUACUUUAAGGGCACAUCAUCGAUGCUACAUGCUUGAUUUAUCAAAUACAGAUUCCCUGUGGCACAGCAACUGCAUUCAGGCAUGUUGUUGGGAGUCAAGAUGAUGUGGGUGCCAAGGCCCAGAGUGAGGAAAAGAUGACUGAAAUACUGAGGUGAGGUCAAACUCAACAGGUAGCCAACUUUUAUGCUGAGUUGGAAGUGUCUCUCCUUGACCUAAAUAAACUGAUAUGCUGAAGGGAAUAAUUCUGGUAUCCAAGAAAAUAAAUUGGGGGGAGAGAAGUUUGCACACACAUUCUUUCCUGGGAUAGGCACCACUAGAAAGAAAAAAAAAAUAAUUUAUUUGAGAAACUAAAAAAUCAGUGGCAGUAACAGAAACAGUGAGGUUGGGUA